AAUACUGAUUUGUCUUCAUCUUUUGAUAUUACUUUUUUUAUUAUUGUCAAUGCAUCUCCUUCCACCGUGAUUCGACGAAAACCAAUCUCUUCUGCAAACUGCACUGCUUGCUAACAUGCAUGCGCUUCCGCCAUUGCUGGGGCCAAGACAUUUUUAAUCGGGUAAGUGCAUGCUCUCAUUAUUAAUCCUACAUGAUCUCUGUAAUACCCAAUUUUAGCCCGGGCUCACAUAUGGAAACAUAAUUUUUGAGGAUAUGUAAUCUUAGAUAUGAUAUAUGCAAUCUUAGAUAUGAUAUGUAAUCUUAGAAGAUAUGAUUUUGUAAUCUUAGAGAUUUAAUUUGUAGAUACCCUUUAAUCUCAGCCGUUGAUCUGUACCGUUGGAUUUGGGGAGGCUCAACUAUAAAUUGAGGUCUCUCCCUUCAUUGAAAAAAAAAGAGGGGAAAAAAAGAUGAGGAAUAAAAAAAGAACGAUUGGCAGUUUUUUAAAGGUGGUUUACUAUUUUUUUUCUUUCGAUUAUUUUUUUUUACUUAUUUACGAUUUUAAAAAAGGGAGAAGGUGAUACCACUGCGAAUUUUAUUUAUUUAUUUUUAUUUAGCCCCUCCGCCUUUUAAUGUUUUUGUAAUUAAGUUUUCUUUAUUUUUUUUAAUUUACCCUUUUAUUUAUUUUAAAUUUCAAUUUAAUCCUUUUGAACGACACCGUUUUAGAGGAGAAGGAAAAAUUUCCCUUCCAGCCCCUCUAUGUAAUUCGCGCGUUCAAAUUAGUCCUUUUACUUUUAUUUAUUUGCAGAUUUACCCCAGAUUUUUAAAUUGCGAUUCAAUUUAGUUUUUUAUACUCUUUUUAUUUAUUUUAUUAAUUAAUAGUGUAAUUAUUAUUUUUAUUCUAUUUUUUUAUCUAUAUAUAUUCCUUUUAUAUGUGCACAUAUAUAUAUAUAUAUUUUUUAAACGAAUAUUUUCCUAUAUUUUUUUAAUGAAUAUUUUCAUAUUUAUAUGUAUAUAUUUACAUUUUUUUAAGUGAUUAAAUACUCACCUUUUUUUUCCUUUUUUUAAAAUAUAUUUAUUUUUAUUAUUUUAUAUAUGUACGUAUAAUUAUAUUUUUUUCUUUAUUUUCAUAAGCAUAUUAUGUAUUGUAUUUAUAUAUAAAUUCUAUGACCUAAAAUUUUAUUUGUAAAUUAUAUGUAUAUUUUUAAUCUUCAUAAUUUCCAUGUGUACAUCUUUUGAUCCUUAUUUAUUUGUUUGCUAUCCCAUCCAUUGUAUAAUUGUGUUUACAUUUAAUAUUUUGCAUGUCAUGGAUUACCUUUUUUUUUAUUUCGUUUAUUCAUUUGCUUAUAUUAUUUUUAUGUCGAUGAUGUAUUUAUUAUUGUUAUUGUUAUUGUUAUUAUAGCAUUUGCAUGUAUAAAAUCACGUUACAUCAUUUUUUACUCAAAUUUAAAGAUAGAAAAUUUUUUAAAAUUGAGAUAAUGUUUGUAUUUAGGAUUUUCAAGGGAAUUGAGCCCUAACGUAUUGGGUUCCAAUUUUCUUCGUUAAAUCCGAUAAUCGAGCAUUUCUCUUCAAUCAAAAAAUAAAAACUUAUUAUUGGGAAUUCAACACGUUGUGUCCUAACGUAUUGGAUGUGACGUAUUGAUUUCUUGAAAUGAAGAUUUUUUAAAAAUAAUAAAGGAAAUAUUCCGAAUUUGGGAUUUUAAAGGAAUUGUGCCCUAACGUAUUGGGUGUGAUUUCUUAAAUCUUGGAUAAGUGGAUGUUCUUUUAAAGUAAAGGAAAUAUUCCGAGUUUGGGAUUCUAGAGGAAUCGUGCCCUAACGUAUUGGGUGUGAUUUCUUAAAUCUUGGAUAAGUGGAUGUUCUUUUAAAAUUUUAUUGUACAAGUAUUUUGGCCCAAUUCAUUUUGGGGAAAAUUAGAAUGCUGUGCCCUAACGCAUUGGGUGUGGUAUCUUCUUUCUCUGAAAUAAUAAGGGUCUUAAUACGUAGCCUUUUAAGUUUUGCUAAGGAUUACGUUUUUUCCAAAUUCUCGACCUUAAGACACUAAUUAAUUAACUAGGUACCAAUUUUGGGCAUUACGAGGGUGCUAAUCCUUCCUCAUACGUAACUGACUCCCGGAUCCGUUUUUCUAAAACUCGUAGACCAAAGCCGUUUUUUUAGGUAAUCCAAUCACACCCUAAUAAAAGAUUGGUGGCGACUCCCAACUUUCAUUUUUUUAAGUCGACAACCCAAAAUUUUUAUUUUUCAAAAAAUAGUUUCGACAAUCUCAAAUUUUAUUUUAAACAAGUUUCACUAUAAACUACUUUUAUUUUAUAAAAUUUCAAAGAUAAAUGUAAAUAAAGAAAGAUGUACCUUAUAUAGCAAUUUACACAAAUUUCAAAAUCUAAUUUUAUUCGUGUUUAUAAAAAUCAUUGUUUUUGUAUAAGAGUUUUAGAAUCUUAUACAAAUAUUAUUUACAUAAUAAAAUUUUAUAAAAUAUAAAUUGAUAAUAUUAAAAAAGAGUUCUCAGAAAAGAAAUCAAAUUUAUAUCAAUAAAUUUAAAAUAUACAUUCAAAUACGAAAAUGUCUUUUUAAUGUUGUUGUUCUAUUGGGCUUUAGACUUUUUGCAGGCCGUGGUGAGUAUCUUUCUUUUAUUAAUGAAAUAAACUGCUUUUUGCCGAGGAAAACAAAACCUUGAUAAUAAAAUAAAUUGUAAAAAAACUCAAUUUUUAACGAAGCCCUAUCUCUCGAAUUUUAAAAAUAAAAAUAAUUAGUUAAACAUCAUAAACAUAUGGAAGAUUAGAAAAGAAAAAAACACAGAUCAAAUAAAAACUAAUUAAUGUACAAAAAUAUAAAAAAAUAAUGAAAUAAAUUAUAGAAUAACCUAAAGCUCUAAUUCAUCAAAGUGAACUUAUUAUAGAAGUUAAAUUUUUAAAAUUUACUUACAAAGGUAACUGAAUAAUUCAAUAAAUUUAUAAUCAUAAGUGUAUAUUCAUGAUAAUUUAUAAUUUUAUAUUUAAAUUCAAUUAGUCUAAGAAUUAAAUAAAAUUGGUUUAAUAUAUGUUUGGUACCUGAUUUUGGUACUUUUUUAAUGUGGUACCUCUGUUAUUUUUUGGUCCAAUCUAGUGUCUAUAUUUGAAUAUAUAUAUAUUAUUAUCCAAAGGUAAUGGUGCUAAUUUCAAUAAUUAAUUUUUAAUUUUGAUUUGAUGAAAGUUAAUUACUAAUAUUAUUCUAUUUGAAAUUUUUCAUUAUUUUUCUAAUAGAAUAAAUUUAAUGUUAUUGUGAAUUUGUUUAAUUUUACACUUAACUUAUCAAAUACAAUUUGUUUAAAAUAUGAUUUAAUUCAAAUUCUAGGGUUUUCAUAAAAGUUAAUUACUAAUAUCUCUUAUUAUGAAUUUUCAUUAAAUCAACUCAAACUCAAUUUAAACUAAAAUGUUAAUAUUGUUUCCUUUGGACCACAUUGAACCAAAAAAUAACACAAAUAUCAUGGUAGAAGAAAGUGUCAAACUAAGGUACCAAACUAUACAUUAAGCUAAUAAAAUUAGUAACAAAAAAAAUUACUUUUAUAGUUUUAAAUUUGAAAUAGUUGGAAAAAUAAUUUAAAAAUGGCCAUGAAAUUUAGAAAAUAUUAUAAUUAUAUUAGCAUGAGAUCAGAAUUUGUCAAUCAGACAAAAAUCUGCAAAGCAAACUGAAGAAUGGAAAGGGCAAGGAGUGGAAGAGAAAGAGAAAGGGCAUGAAAAGCCAGCAAACAGCCGCUUUUGAAUAUCCAAGCAAGUUAAUUUUACUCAAUUAUUAACUUACAUUUAAGAACAGAAAAUCGAUCAUACAAAUAGCAUAUGAUUUAGAGGAUGAUAUUGUACUGUACAUGCACCUUUCUAGAAAAGUUCUAACACAACAUACACUUAUUAUACUGUCAUAUAAUAUUUAAUCUUCAUUCAUACCACCCUACACAAACAAAACAGAGCACAAAAGAGAGCGCCAUAACUACAACAGCACGCAGUUGACAUUAUCACAAGUACGAAUCUAAGUAUGCAUAUGUGUGUCUUUUGUUGUAUUGCAGCAAACUUGCAUACGUUCUGUCCCAUAUUCCUAUAUACAAAGAUUCAUCGUCUGGACUCAGAGAUACUCCCGAAAUCUCCCCAAAGAAGUCAAUCUCUUGUCUUUUCUCGUAAUCGGCACACGUACUAUACACGUGAACAAAAUCUGCAGGUUCAGCAGCCACCAUGAAUUGACCAUCGGAUGAAAAGCGGAUUGAUCGUAUGGCACCCAAGUUUCCUUUGAGAGUCGCAACUGGCCUUGAAAGGUUUCGAACGUCCCACACACGGCAUGUCUUAUCCUGAUUUCCAGUGGCAAAUAUGCGCCCGUCUGGGUGCCAUGCAGAUGCAAAGGAGUAAUCUAGAUGACCUACCACCGUUGCUACAGUCUGAAACCAAAGACAACGUGAUUCAGUAACCGCAAUAAUUCUUCUUUUCCUGCUUAAUGUUGCACCAAGGCACUUGUGCAGAUCUAAUCGAAUGAGAUUUUUAUUUACCUUUCCGUUUUGCAAAUCCACAAGCAACCCAUCCAAGCUAUCUCCAACAACAGUAAUAAGCCUUCGGUCAGGGCUGACUGAUGUAUGCUGCAUCAGAACAAACAAGUUCCAUCAUGUAAUUGAAUAUUAAGGUAAUCAAUAAAAUGUCAAAUGAUUAAGAUUCGCUUUCUCCAUUUAUGAAGCAACUAUCUCUUUUUCUUUUGAAGCACAAACCCGAUAAGUCAAAUUCACCAUACUUCUCCACUACGUGAAGAAAUUUAUUACAGUGAAUGACCAUACAACUAUCCUUGCACCAUUGCAUCUCUUUAGAACUUACAGAUAUAAAAUAGACCAUUCAGCGAGACAAGAAAGAACAGCUGAAUUAAGAAAGUAGUCAAAUAGUAGAGAUUUGAUGGGCUUACAUUUACUGGCCAAGGGAAACGGAGAUGGUUUAGAAGCUGAAAUCUCUCCGUAUCAUAUUCUCUCAUGCUACAGUCAUUAUUGGCAGCCAUAAAAUUGAUUCCACCCCUGCAAAACAAUUUUGAAAUUCAAUCUAUAUUUUAUUCAAUAUAUAUUUUCCCAGUCAAACAGACAAUCAGCA
rnacentral:lncRNA from 1 species